UACAGAGGGGGCAAGCGUUGCUCGGAAUCACUGGGCGUAAAGCGCACGUAGGCGGCUUGUUAAGUCAGGGGUGAAAUCCUGGAGCUCAACUCCAGAACUGCCUUUGAUACUGGCGAGCUUGAGUUCGGGAGAGGUGAGUGGAACUGCGAGUGUAGAGGUGAAAUUCGUAGAUAUUCGCAAGAACACCAGUGGCGAAGGCGGCUCACUGGCCCGAUACUGACGCUGAGGUGCGAAAGCGUGGGGAGCAAACAGG
rnacentral:rRNA from 1 species